rnacentral:rRNA from 1 species
UUUAGCAUGGAAUAAUGGAAUAGGACUCGAGUCGUAUUUUGUUGGUUCAACGAAACGAGUAAUGAUUAAUAGGGGCAGUUGGGGGCAUCUCUACUAUUGCGGGACUGGUGAAAUGGGUUGAUCGCAGUAAGAGAAACUGAAGCGAAAGCGUUUGCCAAGGAUGCUCUCAUUAGUCAAGGACGAAAGCUAGAGGAUGGAAGGCGAUUAGACACCGCUGUACUUCUAGCCAUAAACUAUACCGCCUAGGGAUUGGAGGCAGGUAUUACACUCCUUCAGCACCUUUUGAGAAAUCAAAGGCUUCGGGUUGCGGGGGGAGUAUGGUCGCAAGGCUGAAACUUAAAGGAAUUGACGGAAGGGCACCACCAUUAGUGGAACCUGCGAUUCAAUUUGACUCAACACGUAAACCUUACCAGGGCCAGACACUGUUAGGAUUGACAAGCUGAAAGACUUUUCUUGAUUCGGUGGUUGGUGGUGCAUGGCCGUAUUUAGUUCGUGGAGUGAUUUGUCUGGUUGAUUCCGAUAACGAACGAGACCCCCGCCUGCUAACUAGAUGAGCUGUUUUUACAGUAUCGUCUUCUUAGAGGGACAACUGGUGCAAGCCAGGGGAAGUGGGGGGCAACUACAGGUCAGUGAUGCCCUUAGAUGUCCUGGGCCACAGGCGUGUUAUAAUGGCAUGGUCAUCAAGCAUCUGCUAGUCCGAUAGGAUAGGCUAAUCUUGUGAAACCAUGUCGUAGUGGGGAUAGAGCAUUGCAAUA